GGGUUGUGAGGUUAAGCGACUAAGCGUACACGGUGGAUGCCCUGGCAGUCAGAGGCGAUGAAGGACGUGCUAAUCUGCGAUAAGCGUCGGUAAGGUGAUAUGAACCGUUAUAACCGGCGAUUUCCGAAUGGGGAAACCCAGUGUGAUUCGUCACACUAUCAUUAACUGAAUCCAUAGGUUAAUGAGGCGAACCGGGGGAACUGAAACAUCUAAGUACCCCGAGGAAAAGAAAUCAACCGAGAUUCCCCCAGUAGCGGCGAGCGAACGGGGAGCAGCCCAGAGCCUGAAUCAGUGUGUGUGUUAGUGGAAGCGUCUGGAAAGGCGCGCGAUACAGGGUGACAGCCCCGUACACAAAAAUGCACAUGCUGUGAGCUCGAUGAGUAGGGCGGGACACGUGGUAUCCUGUCUGAAUAUGGGGGGACCAUCCUCCAAGGCUAAAUACUCCUGACUGACCGAUAGUGAACCAGUACCGUGAGGGAAAGGCGAAAAGAACCCCGGCGAGGGGAGUGAAAAAGAACCUGAAACCGUGUACGUACAAGCAGUGGGAGCACAGAGCAAUCUGUGUGACUGCGUACCUUUUGUAUAAUGGGUCAGCGACUUAUAUUCUGUAGCAAGGUUAACCGAAUAGGGGAGCCGAAGGGAAACCGAGUCUUAACUGGGCGUUAAGUUGCAGGGUAUAGACCCGAAACCCGGUGAUCUAGCCAUGGGCAGGUUGAAGGUUGGGUAACACUAACUGGAGGACCGAACCGACUAAUGUUGAAAAAUUAGCGGAUGACUUGUGGCUGGGGGUGAAAGGCCAAUCAAACCGGGAGAUAGCUGGUUCUCCCCGAAAGCUAUUUAGGUAGCGCCUCGUGAAUUCAUCUCCGGGGGUAGAGCACUGUUUCGGCAAGGGGGUCAUCCCGACUUACCAACCCGAUGCAAACUGCGAAUACCGGAGAAUGUUAUCACGGGAGACACACGGCGGGUGCUAACGUCCGUCGUGAAGAGGGAAACAACCCAGACCGCCAGCUAAGGUCCCAAAGUCAUGGUUAAGUGGGAAACGAUGUGGGAAGGCCCAGACAGCCAGGAUGUUGGCUUAGAAGCAGCCAUCAUUUAAAGAAAGCGUAAUAGCUCACUGGUCGAGUCGGCCUGCGCGGAAGAUGUAACGGGGCUAAACCAUGCACCGAAGCUGCGGCAGCGACGCUUAUGCGUUGUUGGGUAGGGGAGCGUUCUGUAAGCCUGUGAAGGUGUACUGUGAGGUAUGCUGGAGGUAUCAGAAGUGCGAAUGCUGACAUAAGUAACGAUAAAGCGGGUGAAAAGCCCGCUCGCCGGAAGACCAAGGGUUCCUGUCCAACGUUAAUCGGGGCAGGGUGAGUCGACCCCUAAGGCGAGGCCGAAAGGCGUAGUCGAUGGGAAACAGGUUAAUAUUCCUGUACUUGGUGUUACUGCGAAGGGGGGACGGAGAAGGCUAUGUUGGCCGGGCGACGGUUGUCCCGGUUUAAGCGUGUAGGCUGGUUUUCCAGGCAAAUCCGGAAAAUCAAGGCUGAGGCGUGAUGACGAGGCACUACGGUGCUGAAGCAACAAAUGCCCUGCUUCCAGGAAAAGCCUCUAAGCAUCAGGUAACAUCAAAUCGUACCCCAAACCGACACAGGUGGUCAGGUAGAGAAUACCAAGGCGCUUGAGAGAACUCGGGUGAAGGAACUAGGCAAAAUGGUGCCGUAACUUCGGGAGAAGGCACGCUGAUAUGUAGGUGAAGCGACUUGCUCGUGGAGCUGAAAUCAGUCGAAGAUACCAGCUGGCUGCAACUGUUUAUUAAAAACACAGCACUGUGCAAACACGAAAGUGGACGUAUACGGUGUGACGCCUGCCCGGUGCCGGAAGGUUAAUUGAUGGGGUUAGCGCAAGCGAAGCUCUUGAUCGAAGCCCCGGUAAACGGCGGCCGUAACUAUAACGGUCCUAAGGUAGCGAAAUUCCUUGUCGGGUAAGUUCCGACCUGCACGAAUGGCGUAAUGAUGGCCAGGCUGUCUCCACCCGAGACUCAGUGAAAUUGAACUCGCUGUGAAGAUGCAGUGUACCCGCGGCAAGACGGAAAGACCCCGUGAACCUUUACUAUAGCUUGACACUGAACAUUGAGCCUUGAUGUGUAGGAUAGGUGGGAGGCUUUGAAGUGUGGACGCCAGUCUGCAUGGAGCCGACCUUGAAAUACCACCCUUUAAUGUUUGAUGUUCUAACGUUGACCCGUAAUCCGGGUUGCGGACAGUGUCUGGUGGGUAGUUUGACUGGGGCGGUCUCCUCCUAAAGAGUAACGGAGGAGCACGAAGGUUGGCUAAUCCUGGUCGGACAUCAGGAGGUUAGUGCAAUGGCAUAAGCCAGCUUGACUGCGAGCGUGACGGCGCGAGCAGGUGCGAAAGCAGGUCAUAGUGAUCCGGUGGUUCUGAAUGGAAGGGCCAUCGCUCAACGGAUAAAAGGUACUCCGGGGAUAACAGGCUGAUACCGCCCAAGAGUUCAUAUCGACGGCGGUGUUUGGCACCUCGAUGUCGGCUCAUCACAUCCUGGGGCUGAAGUAGGUCCCAAGGGUAUGGCUGUUCGCCAUUUAAAGUGGUACGCGAGCUGGGUUUAGAACGUCGUGAGACAGUUCGGUCCCUAUCUGCCGUGGGCGCUGGAGAACUGAGGGGGGCUGCUCCUAGUACGAGAGGACCGGAGUGGACGCAUCACUGGUGUUCGGGUUGUCAUGCCAAUGGCACUGCCCGGUAGCUAAAUGCGGAAGAGAUAAGUGCUGAAAGCAUCUAAGCACGAAACUUGCCCCGAGAUGAGUUCUCCCUGACUCCUUGAGAGUCCUGAAGGAACGUUGAAGACGACGACGUUGAUAGGCCGGGUGUGUAAGCGCAGCGAUGCGUUGAGCUAACCGGUACUAAUGAACCGUGAGGCUUAACCUUACAACGCCGAAG
rnacentral:rRNA from 1 species